AAGUAAAAUUAGGUGUAGGCGCCAGGACGGGCGGUAUCCAACGUGGCACAUUGAAGAGAUUGUGGUCCCACAGGAACGUGCGGCUCAGAUGCGUCGGUAGCAACAACGUUUAUCUUGAUCGUGUAUUAUUACUGUUAUUGUUAUUAUUUUUAUUAUUAUUAAUUGUUUGUUAUGAGAAAAGUUAAAUGGAAAGAGCUUCUGAAGCGUCUUCGGCGCCGAAUACGUGGCGCGCUCAAAAGUCGUCAAGGUGGGUGUGCAUCUGCACAUACUAUGGGUUGAAUUUAAUUACAUGCUUAGUUCUUGAAGUUUAGUUUUAGUACCAUUUAAGUAGAAUUAAGAGUCUCUAAUUAAAUACUUAUUCCUUAAUAACAAAGUAAUAUAUCGAACAAAUCACAAGAUAGCUAAGCCCUCCAUUUUAUAAAACACAAGAUGUAUUUUUCCAUCAUUUGCACUUCAAUAUCACAUUGUUAACACCAACCGAACCUAGCAUAAUUGACUAAAAUUUUAAUAACUAGCACCUAAGGCCUUAAAUUUAGUUUCAAAUCUAAUUAUUUUAUAUUUAUAAUAAUCGAGUCUAUAUUUAAAGAAUAAACAAAGAGACUACCUUUUUCUUAAAACAAAAAUAUUUCACUCGGUUUACAAAUGUAGCAUUAGCAUUUUACUGUCUAUUUAGCAGAAUAUUUUACUGUAAAAUAAAAAAAAAUUAGAUUACAGCGAAAUAUAUAUAUUUUUUUAAACAACAGUAAAGUACAAAUAAAUUAAACCACAAGAUUGCUUCUGGUUGCUCCAGCAGGAAACAAACGGAGGAAUUAAAAAUAGUUGUUGUUAACACCAUCUCACUCUUCAGAUUGAUCCUCCGUUCCAUCAUUAUAGCAAGCAAAAUUGUCACAUACCAACCACCCACAGUGUACCCGUUUCCUUAAAAUAUAGUAAUAUUUUGCUAAGAAUACCAGCAAAAAAAAUGCAUCCAACCGAAUUUUCAGCUGCUUAGAAUAGAAGGCAAAAAUUUAAAAGUAAUCUAUACCGAUACAACGCUUUCGCCAAAACAGCUGAAUGAUCUAUUUUAGCCCAUUCGUGCUCCGAGCCUAGAAUUGCACACUUUCCGCAAUGCAGAGCAGCACAGAUUAGACCAUUUCAGCUAUGUAUAUAGUUUUCCGAAUAAUAAAAGAAAACUCUGAGGCGGAAACUCCGUUCACUGCUCGGAAGCUGGUAGGGGCUGAAGGGCUUUGAGGGGAUUCAUGAUGACUCCGUCGAUUAGGCCGUACUCCUUGGCUUCUUUUGCGCUCAUGAAGAAGUCCCGGUCGGUGUCUUGGUUGAUCUUCUCGAGCGGUUGACCGGUAUGGUAUGCUAGAUAGCCAUUCAAAUUCGCCUUGUGAUGUAGCAUCUCAUUAGCCUGAAGCAAAGCAAAAUUAUUUAGAUAUAUUACCAUUAAACCAAAUUAAUGUGAAGUUUUUUGUUUUUCUUUUCUUUUUGAAUAUCCAUGUAUCGAGCAAAAGUUUUAAGGUUUACCUGGAUGUCAAUAUCAGUUUGUCCACCCUGGGCUCCUCCGAGAGGCUGAUGAAUCAUUAUUCGGGAGUUGGGUAAGCUGUAGCGCUUCCCUGCAUCAAUUUGGAUUGCGGAAAAUAAGAAGAGUAAGAAAACAGCUAGACUUCCUUUUGGUAAAAUGUAGUCUGUGAAUUAAAAGAUCAAAGAAAAACUCACUGACCUUUGGUACCCGAACUCAGAAUGAAAGCACCCAUACUGUUAUAGGAAGGCCAAGAAUGAGUCUCAAAAGUCAGUAACACAUGCGGAACAAGAAUGAACAGAUAUCGAAAAAUAAAGCAAAAUCAUGUAUAUAAGAUCAAUGAAAAAUUGGAAAUGAGGAAUAUGAAGGGUAUUUCCAUUUUAUACAGGUCAAUUCAAGCUUGUUCUAAUAACUUCCUGCUUUCAUACCAAAAGAAAACCACAAUGAUAUGAAGUAAACCAAAUGGAAACUCUGAAAUUUAGGCAUAGGUUUCCUCAGAUAAACUUAGCUGAGGUGUCAUUGAUAUGAAGAAUAUGACUGUUAUAUGUUCUUUAUUUGCAAAGAAAAAAUAUAUGAAAUGUGAAUUUCAGAACAAAAUACAUACUAAACUCUGUUAAGAUCCAGUAUAACAAAGCCAAGUUUUGAAUUACUGAAUGAUGGCUUGCAGUGCUUAAAGUAUCUGUAACUUCCAACAUAUCAAUACAACAAAAUCACCGAGGUAUCCAAUUGAAGGUUUGACAAUGAUACAACGCAUCACUACGCACAUGUAUAAAACCAAAAUAUGCUGCACAAUUGAAACAUCAACUGUUUAUGUUUGGAGAUUGCGCACAUCAUGACAACGUUGCCAGCUUGUUGUUCACAAACAGCUCCCAUUCAGCUCAAAACUAGGGCAGGAAGAGCUCACUCAUUCGCUCAUUUAAUAAAGAAGCCUAGCUUGAUCUUAUAGUCUAGAUUGCUUGGUUUAGGCUCAAUCAAAUUCGAAAGUAUUGAUAAAAGACAAAAACAGUAACACAAUAAGACAAUAUAGCAAUUUGUAUGAAAGAUUUGUGUAGAAAAAAUGUAUUUGAUGUUAUACUAGCACGAUUCUAAUUAUAUUGGGUAAAGCAAUAUAUGUUUGCUCAAAGUUCAUAUAAUUAAAACCCUUACUAGUCUCGUUUGUUUGAUAGUAGCUUGAGUUUGACUAUUAAUAAAUGGACCUACUUGAGCUUAAGCUUGAUUACAAGGUGACUCAAGCUUGAGCUUGUUUGCUCAUGUUCAGCUCAUUUACAGCCCUAUAUCAUAAAAAACAACUGAGACUCAACCAUAAAUAUUUCUAUGCUACGAUGUACUAAAGAAUACAGUCAUUCAGUAAGAUCCAUCUUGGAACCACAUGGCAAUCACAACAAUAUACAACAGGACACUGUCAUAUUCCCCGUGAAGUUAUAAUCUAUAGCCAUUAUAUAAUCAUAGCUUCUAACUUCUAACUUCUAACUUCUAACAACGUUUGCAUAUGCACACAUAAAACUUUUGAGAGAGAGAGAGAGAGAGAGAGAGAUCAUAGAAGCAAAAAAGAAAAGUGAUAAUACCUAGCUGCUAGUCCAACACAAACUGUAGAAACAUCAGGCCUGAUAUGUCUCAUUGUAUCAAAAAUAGCCAUGCCUAUUAGGAAGGACCAAAUAAAUUAGCAUUAGUAACUAAUAGGAGACACAACAGGAGACAUAAUUGUAAGAACCUGACAAACAAUAUUAAGAGAAAGCGAAAAUCCUUACCAGCGGUAACCGACCCUCCUGGAGAAUUAACAUACAUAACGAUAUCCUAUAAGAAACAUCAAGCAAGUUUAGACAUUUGUGAUCUGCAAGGCAGGUCUAAAUUGAGUUUUUUGCUCAAUUGGAUAGAAAGAAUGACAAUAAAAUAGAAGUCAUAUUUAAACGCAACAAAAGAAAUAUAUAGGGAAAAGAAAUUUCUAGGAGAAGUCUAAAGAUCAUUAGUGAAAGUAGAACAGCCACUCAGACAAAUAAUGUUAUAAUCUUACCAGUAAUUCUUUUAGAGAAAUAAUACUUCACUCAAUAAGAAAAUAAUCAUCAAAGUAGAACGAAAAAUGACUUACCAUCCUGAAAAUAGUAGCUCGGUGCAAAAAAAAGAAAAAGGUUAAAGAACAUUUAGCUUUUUCAUGCCAAAUAACACUACUAUCUGGUGACUUUCGAUGAAUUAGACAUGUUUAGUUAAACAUUUUCAAGGUUCAAAAAUUAAAAAACACAGUCAAAACCUAUUUCACCUGAUAAGAAUAUACAAUUGUAAGUAUCUAUGAAUGGUAGAUAUUUCCAAAAGUUUGCGUUGUCAACAUAUAACACGCUAUCAUCUUUUAACAUGAGGCAUAAAGCCAAAAGCAUCUUUCGGCCCAAUCUAUUUCUAUCCACCUUAUCUUAUUUACAUAAGAAGAACAAAUUAAUUAACAUGAAUAACAUGAAUAGGACUAGGGAUAUGAACUCGCGAAAGCGAUCUUCCAGAAUCCUCUUAUUCUCCUGCUAGAUUUACUAUCGCUCGUAACAAGAAAUUCUAACUGAUUAACAUUCUGUUAAUUGCAUACAUCCACAAGUCAUUGCCAGAAAGAUCUAAAGCUCCAGCUAUCUACCAAAUCAUUUACACAAACAGUGAGCAAGAAAGAACCUUGGUAGGAUCAACAGCAUCAAGAUAGAGCAGCUGCGCCACGAUGAUGUUCGCCAUGUCGUCAUCUACCGCACCACCGCACCGAAUUAUCCUCUAAAAAUCGCGAGAGUUAACAAAUUCUUUCAAUUCAAAAGGAAUGAACCAACACCUUGAUACACCCAAAAGCCCUCCCCGGAAAAGAUGCAAACCCUAAUUAAAUCAAACACCGAACCCUACAUGCUGAAAGAGCUGGCUGAUGACGCUCUGGAACCGCUCCUGCACCAUCGGCGGGGGUCCCUGCCCUCCCUGCGCCUCCACCGGAAAGUACGGCGACGACGGCACCACCAGAUCGUCCCUAAAACCCAAACCCCUAGAUCAGGAACCGAGAGGACGAAGCUUAGAUCCCAGAAGGAACCGAGAGGACGAAACCACCAACCUGAUAGACCAAAGCCCACUCCUCUGAGCUCGAUCUUGAGCCCAGAAUCCACCUGUGUAGGCAGCUUUAGGGGAGACGAAGCCGCCCUUGAGAGAUUUACCUUUCCUGGGAGUGGGGGGAAAUGGAGGGAGAGGUAUUAGGGUUAGAAACGAAGAGAAGAAGAGGCGAAAGAAAGAGAGAGAGUACCUGGGAGAAGGGGAGGAGGAAGGGAGGUGGAGGUGGAAGGAGAGGGGUAGGGUUUUGGGAGGGUUUCGGUGGAGGCAGGGGAGAGGGGAAGGGCGAGUCGCCAUGAGAGAGGAGUUCGCCAUUUUUACUAAUUUCGAAGCUCCCCCACUCUUCUUACUUCGCUUAAAAGGGUUUCUCUUAUCCGAUAAUAAUAUGGAGGAAGACGCGGUAUAGAGAGAGAGAGAGAGAGAGAGAGAGAGCAGUGAGCUCGACUCGGGUCCGCCGGAAAGAUCUGGAGCUGAAGAAGAUUAGCCCCGAUUUUCAGAUUAAGUUAAAAAAUUAUUUAAACUGAAGUGAAAAUGAUGUUUUACUCUUCAACGUUAUUUAUUUUGUACGAAGAUAAUGUUUUGAGACGAUAGUUUUUUUUUUUUUUGUCUCUUGUUUUACUGAAAAAUUUAUACUAAUAUAUGAUAGGAAUAGGAUUAAAAGAACUAUCGUAAUUAAAAGAACUAUCGUAAUUAUUAUUUUACCGUGAAAAUUAAUUUUUUUUUUUAUUAAUUAACUAAUAUAUGAUAGCACUUAUGCAUCUCAGUUAACUAGCAGUAAACUCACAUAUAUCAUUUAUAUAGUAAGUAUAUAGACAGAGAAAGUAAUAAGGCCAAGCAAUAUUGCGUACAAGGAAAACUAACCACCCCGUGCCACACCUUACUCGACUAUCAUCUUUCCCAUCUCCAUCUCCUGAAACCAUUCCAAUCUCAAAGCCGCAAGAAGCCAACAGUCAACUGAAAAGCAAUUCUUGGAAGGCGCAGAACACACAACUGGAAUAAUAACAUCGGUUCAACUAAGCAUAGUUUUAACUAGUUAAUCAGAUCUCCAGAAACUACACAUUAGGAUUAGCCAAUCAAGUUCUAAGGCUCUAGGAACAUAUAUUGUGCUCUACUAAUUGAUUAUAAGUUUUAUACAGAUAAUAGUUGUUUCUGCUACUCAGCAACCGGCGGCCUUCAGGAAGUUGUCGAAGGGGCUAGCCGGAGGGAGUCGUAGGGCCAUCCACGGUUCCGAGGGCUCAGAUAAGUCCUUCUCGAAGCCAUAAGCAUUCACCUGGAGGAGAAAAGAUCAGUAUGUCUUUCAAAUGCUUUGGUACAAUUCAUCUCAGCAACGCGUCAUUGAUUAGAUUAUGAAUUUUGGGUAACAACAGACAGGCCUUACCAGAACCGCGGUGCAUCCUGAAAUGGGUACUUGAACUUGAAAAUUUUCUAUUUUACAGCCUCACUCUUAUUAAUAAUAUUAUGAUACUCUGUUACCAUUAUUAGGUUCUGAGAGUACUAAACAGAAUUUUACAAGUCAUAAGUAAAGAAAGGUCAGGUAGUAACAUCGAAAUUUUUGCGUUCAGAUUCCCAUUUCAAGGCGCACUAUCGUUCAAUCUGUUCAGGUACGUCCAUAGGUUUGUGCCUAAAUUUUAUGCGCUUGCGUACCUUCUGAAGACCGAACUGCUGAGUCAUGGGAAGAACUGGCAUGUGAGUAUCUUCAACCAAGUCGGGGCCAUUAACAAGCCAACUUGAGAGCUUCUUCCUUGUGACCGUGCCGAGAGCCUCGCACUGACUAGCCAUUGUGCCGUAUGGGACGGGUGAGGUUGAGACUGAAGUUCCAGCUACCUGGCCAGCUACAUGAAGUGCCUGAAUAAAAACGCAAAAAAGUAUGACAACCCCAACCAUGACUUGUAAAUUUCUCAAGUUGACCUAUUAAAUUUCCUAUCCACAUCUUUUUAUCAAAGAAACGCCUUUUUAAAUUGUAAAGAAAACAUACCAUACGUAAAUGCAGUAAAAAAAGGCUGCUGCAUAAAUUACAAGGGUUAAAAUAGCAGAAUGUUUUUAUGCUUUCCUAUCAUCACAGGAGACCUAAAAGACAAAUCUUCAAACCAUACUGUAAAAAUGCAGAUCUAAUAAAUGAGAUUUCCGUAGGCAAAUUUGUGCAAUGCUAGUUGAUCCGUAAUCAAGCAUGGGCUGAAGUGGAGCAUAUCACAAGUGUAUCAGUAUCACAAGGAAAGACGUACCGAUUCAACCAAUUGGCCAACACUUAUUAGGUGGGGAAAAGAUGGUGUUGCAGGCACAUUUGAGAUUAACCUGGGAAUAUCAGUAUGUGGAGAUUCCCCGACCAUUUCACCAUCAAUUGAUGAAGUCCUUGAACAUUCCUAUGAUGUAAAAAAAUAAGCUAAUUAGUAAUUUCAGGUACAAUAAAUAUGGAUUCUUCAGUAAUAUGCAAGGAUAGAAGGCGUCGUCAUGGGGGAAAAAGAGCACAAGAAAAGGCAAAAAUUUAUUUAGUUACAAACCAAAAAAGUGAAGGCCCUUUAUCUAAAAAGCCCGAAAAUGGAACAGGGCACAAGGUUAAGUUUAAUUCAACCUUAAAUAAACUCAAAAAGAAACUCCACUUAACCAGCAUACCUCAUCAAAAGAAAGUGAUUCCUCAGAAAGUGCGAGAGCUCGAGUGUUGGCCCAGUCAAGUGCUGGACAAGAUCCAAACAAGGAUAUGUCUUCGGGAAUGAAAGUUUCAGUAAGCUGCCUCUCUAGUACAUCCUUCUCUAACUAAAAAUCCAAGCAAAAUAGCCAUAGCAGUCACUUUAUCUUUCCCCAAUGUCUAUCUUAAAUCAAAUGAGAAAAAGGCAUUACUCUGGAAAGAACUUACGUCUGUUAAGUUUGAAAGAGCAUGAAUUAUUAUGUCAAGUAGCUGCUUGUCAGAAGAACCCACAAGCUUUCUUAAGUCAACUAGUGUGGACCUAGCUGCUUGCUGAUCAGCAUCAGUUCCAUAGUCCUUCAGAUCAGACUGUGGCCUUACAUAUAACUGUGAGUCCUCGGCAAUUUUCAGGAAAGGGUCAAUCUGGAUAAAGAUCAUCAAGGAAAGUAAAUAUUGGUGGAAGUAUAUUUGAAAAACUCGCCAUCAGCCCAGUAACUUGUUUAGAAUUCGCUAAAAAUAUCAACGGAAAACAUAAUUUUUCCAGUGGAUCAAAUCGAAGCUUUUGGGCUCAAUUCAAGCAAUUAAACAUUUGAAGUUAUAUAAGUCAAACAUAUGAACUAACCAAUAGCCAUCUAUAGAAACUUACAUUUAAAGUUGCAAAAGAUUUUAGUGAGUCAGUCAAUUCUGUAAUUUGAAAGAUCCUUCCAGCAAAUGCUAGCAUGCCUGUUGCCAAGGUAAAAAGAGACCGUUGACACGAGGGAGACAGAAGUCCUGGAAAAUCAAAGAAUUCGCAAACAAAUUUACUAAGAAAAGAAGUAAAUGAUGAAAUAGCGAAAGAAAGAAGCAUGAUAGGGAACAAAACCAUAAUAUGUUUUAAUAUGUCCUACCAUUUGAGACUAAAGAAGCAUUUCGAAGGGAUAAUGGAAGCUGGAAGAACUUCACUGUAUUACUAUGGCUUGAACUCUGCAGGUUGACAACAUAAGUUUCUCAGAUUACUACAAAAUGUAGCAAUAAAAGGCUAUGGUAUUAAAUAUUAAGACAUUCUAAAUAGUGCCUGGAAGUACCACUAUUAAGACAUUCUAAAUAGUGCCCACUCAUUAUUUUAAGUACGUACCUUUCUAAGCACCACACUAUUGCACUUUUUAAGUACAAAUAUAUUACACGAUUUUUUAUGUACUCUGUGACUUCUAAAUGAAAGUACAAAUUACCCAACAACUAAUGAAAACAGAUAGGCACCUUAAGGCGAUAAGAAAGAAGUGUCAAGCAGAACGAAUGGGCAAUAGCUUCAAAAUUGAAAGGCAAAUUAUCUGCCUGAUUUGCUUGCAUCCAGAAGCCAGACAAUAAUUGAUCUACUUGCUCCUCAGUUAAAAGAAUAAUAUUGGCUCCCUGUAACAAAUAUUGAGAAAAAGGAAUUGUGAGUCUCUCAGAAUUGUGAAUUGCAGUUGUUAGUUGAUUACAGCUGUACUAGCCAUUAGAAAAAAUCACGUAAGACCAAAACAACAUCGAACCCUAUACAUCAGUUAGAAAAACGGUUAUUCUAAGACUCACGUUGUUAGAGAAUGGUAUACUAUGUAUCUUAUAAUUAACUCCUUUUCCUAACAAUUGGGCUCAGAAACAUUAACAGGUUCAAAAUAUGGGUUGGUUAAAUAGUAGAGUAUUUUUCCAAUUAAAAUAACUGAUUGCUCUGGUACCUUCUGAAACUAUUGAUUUCUCUCAAACCUUAAGUGAGUAAAGAAUAAUUUAUAAUUUAUUAUUUACUAUAUAGUUAACAACAAUACCUAUCCUGAGUUUCUCACCCAAAAAAAAAAAAAAAAAAAAAUCAAAUUCUCCAAAGCACAUACCAUUCAAAUUCUUCAGAGACACUGCACAAUAAACUCAUGAUUCAACUAGCAGAUAACUCACCAUCUCCGUAGAAUUGGUUGAAUUGACUAUUCUGUCAAUAACAGAGAAACCCAAUUUUGAAAAAUAAGUGGAAUUUCUUCUGGGCCAACUAUGCUUGCUCUCCUCAUCCCACAUAAUUCUUUCCUUGAUAUCAUCGUGUGCACUACCUCCAUGCUUAUCCACAUUAAGACUUUCCUUUUCCCUACGAAGUUUUUCAAGUAGAGCAGUAGCUGAGGCAAAUACUGAUGUGGUUCGGGAUUGCCACUUCCUUGUCUCAUAUAAGUACUCUGUUUCACUCCUCGGAUGAUUUGAGGCGCGAACAAGAAUAGCAGCAUACAUUUGGUGUGCUCCCAGACGAGUUUCAACAUCUGGAUGCAUCAUAGCCUUCAAUAACUGUAGUAGGAGUGCUUCUGGAAAUACCUGCAGAUCAGCAAACCAAUUAUAGGAAGGAACAUUUCAGACAAGCUAUAAAGACAGAGGAAAAGAAAAAGGAAAGCCAAAUUAAGUCUUUAAACAGAAAGAAACCAGGAACAACAAAUUUAAUUUUACAUUAUAUAUAUAAGAAGUCCAAUUUUGUAAGGUCUGUCUAGAAUAAACAUAAGUUAUAUUUUGUAGGCCAUGUCUAGAAUAAAUAUUUUGACAUUCAUAAAGAAACUUUCAAAACAUUUCAAAGGUACAAGCUUUAAGAGUAAGACAAUGAUUUGAGUAACAUAAUAGUAUUGGUACCAGUGCAACAAUGGCAUCCUUCCAAUUUUACAAGCAACAAUUAUAUUUAUAAAGAUGUCAAUGACUUUAGCAAAUACAUAAAUAAACAAUAGAUCAUAUGCGGAUGAGAUGACCAAAUAUAUUAAGUAGUGAACUAUUUCAAGUCAUGCAGGCAGACUUGGAACCAGAUAAAAAAAGUCUUUCUGUUGGGAUGAUGAAAUAACGAAAGUUCACUUGUCCCAUGCAAUAAGUUAGGUGGUGGAUAUUUAUUUGAAAAAUGGCUAUACAAAGAACAAAAACUAGACAUCACCAGUUUUUGAUACAAAAUGCCAGAUCAAAACACAACUCACCAUCUGCAAUUGCAAAUUGAUUAAUGUCAACGAGAUGAUGUGAGAAAGAAUCAGCAAACUUCCCACUGUUGCCCUGGCAACAGCAGCAGCAGUAGGCAAUUUCUCUAGUGUUAUUGCAAUCAUGUCAAAGAGUGGCCGUAGAUCAUUAAUCUGACAAAAGAAAUUUGAAAAUGACCAAGUUAGCAAUCACUACAAACAUUAAACACAAUUGGUUAAUCUGUUGUUUAACCAGCAUUAAGGACAAAAGAAACUGGUGUUUUAGAAGAAAGACUAGAGACAGUAAUUAGAAUUGACUAAUAAUGUUUUAGAGAGUUAUGGGCAUACUCCUUUAACAAUCUCCAACAGGCAAUCCUCGAUAGAAUUUUGGAGCGACUCAUUCAAGUUCGCCUCUUCUAGUCCAGCAGAUUCAACAGUGGCCUGUAGACUUUUCCUUAAAUGCCUGCACAAGUCACAGACUACUCCAAUUUCAGCAACCACUCCUCGAGACCUAAGUUGUCGAGCCAAGGAAGUGGCAGUUUGGAUAAUAUCAGAUUUAAUCCGAGGGUCAUUCACAACAUUUUUGUGGUCCAGAUGUCGAAUUAUAGCAGCCAAAAUCAAUUGUUCAUUUCCUGAAAGAAAUAAGAGAGAUAAAUAUCAACAACACAAAUGCACACCUCAAGUACAUAAAUUCUGUCAAGCAGAAAAACUUGAGAGUAAAAAGGUGAGCAGUAUUACCAGAAGUCUUCUCUAAGUAACACAUAUCAGACAAAACAAGCAGAGCUAAUCCACGGCGAGGUGCCCAUUGUCUUCGAGUAUCAAAGUAAAGAAGCAUGGGCUCCAAUACACGGCGCAUGGUUGUGCUUUCCUUUGCUAGCUCAGCAAGUUUCUGUAUACAAAUGUGUGACCAUACUUCUGGAGAUUCACGCUCCUCUCUGAAUAAUGUAUGAGCAAUGCAUAAGUCUCUAUUAUUCAAGGCACACACAGAAAUUUCGAAAAUGCAGUAAUAUUAAUACCAAAAUGAGUAGAAGCAUAUAUAUUUUUUGGAAUGAAGAGGAAUCUAAAAUCUAAAUAUACUGCACGACUGAAGAAGAGUAACAGUCACCUGAAAUAGGAGUAACUAAAUAAGUAAUUAUAUAAAACAGGAUAGUUUAUAUGUAUGAAAGAUUCAUGUAGAUCGAUGAGAACAUUCCUAUGUAUUUUCAGCUAUUGUACAAGUAAGAUGUCACCAGUGACCCUCAACCACUGGUUCACUGUCAUCAAGAUGUUUAUCAAUAUACACACUCCCAACUUGAAGUUACAAUUUCCUUCAUCAUAAUGGACAGAAAGUUUUCUAUUGUCUGAGAUAACAAGUUUUUAAAGAAUACAGAUGAUCAAAUUUAAGUAGCACAAAUAUGUAGAUAUAAAGAUGCUCUUCAAUGUGAAAAAGAAAUAAAAGAGAAAUGCCUAAAGAAAUUUAAAAAAAAAGGGCCACUGAAACAAGAAGAGAGUGUGAAUCCACAAUAGUAACAUAAAUGUGCUUUGUUACAAGUGAAAUCAGAUGAAUCAAAUCUAAUGAUGAAAAUGUAGUUUCAUACCCGGUCAGAGUUGAACAAUCCUUUGCUGUAGGCCGUGAUCGUGCAGUUGUACUGUUUGUGUUGACAUCAUUACCGACAACCAGGCCGGCUUUUGCUUCACAUCUAACUACUUCAUCAACCCAAUUAUGCUGGGAUUCAUGUCUUUCAUCAUUACCAUUAAUUCGCUCAUCUAUUCGGUAAUUCUCCAAGAUGGCAUUAAUGAUCUGAAAAUUACCCAAGUAAGAUCUGAGGUUCAAAAUAUUGCAGUGCCGCUAAUUCUACUUGAAAUAAAUUUCAUACCAGAAAAAAAAAACUAGGAUAGCAAAAAAAGGGGAUCAACCCAAUUCCACAGAUGGUUACAGUCUGAGCUAAGUCAAACUUCAUGGCCGAACUAGGCAAUGGUGAGCUUAAACAGUGUGCAUUGUUACAAGCUACAAUGAGAUCAUAAUUUAUCAACCCCAAAUAGUAGCAUCAUCUCAGUAUAGAUACUCUUCUCAAUAAUAAAAGAAAGAAAAAAGGAUCUGUCUCUAGGAACACCACCUCAUCAAAAUCAGCAAAAAUAUAAGAAUGCUCGGUCAUAAACCAAACCUGCAAAAGAGUAGUAAUUGUAAGUAAUGUUGCCAAAGUACAAAGAACUAUUGGUGACAGUGUAUAUAUCUGAAUAUGUUUCAAAAUGAAGAAAUCACCAUAGCUGACAAACACUGCAGGCUUGCAGCCCUUAGAGGACUCUUCUGUUCCUCUCCUUGCUCACAGGCAAGCGUACACACUUUAUGAACCAAGCUUUCGAUGUUUCGUGCAUAUGUGUUGUCUACCUUUUAAAGCAUCAGUAAGAGUCAGUAAAACAGAAAUAUCCAAAUGAUCAAAACAAUCAGCAAAACACAACUGAUAGCCAAAAUCACAAUAUUUCCCCAAACUACAAAAUAAUAUAUAUCAGUGCAACACAAUUAGAUUACCAGAAAAUUAAGCAUAAAUAUAGGUGUAGCCAAAAGAGUCAAGAUGAUUUCCAUCUUUAGUGAAACAGCUGAGUGGAAACUAUGAAACAUAAUCAGUGAAUCAGAAAUUUUGGAGGAAGAAUAUCAAUGUGCGAACUAAGUUUCGGCGUGAUUGUUGCAGCUCCUUUUGUUAUAGAGAACAAUAUGCCCUCGAAAGCACAUGAAGAAUAUACUAACUCUUUCACUAACAAAUAAAUGCCUACUGAAACAACUAGGAGACUCAAAAACAGUAAACCAGAUAAAUGAAUAUCAUAAACAUUAUCAUGCCUCACCUGGCUAUAGAUAAAUCUUGUCAAAGUUUGGCAUCCAAGAAUCAGUAUAGCAUCUUGCUGCUUGCUUUCUAAAAGCUCAAUAAUAACAUUCAAUAGGCUGAUUGCAAAAUAUGCCCUACAAAAUGUCACUAUCUAUUAGCCAAACUGAUAUCUUAGAACAGCAACAAAUCAGUUGAAUGAAAAAUUACAAAUCAAAUGGUAGAUAAAAUCAAUUAACAACUUACAUCUGCUCCUUACAGAUGAAUAGUAAUUUACUGUAGAUUUCAAUAAUAAUUUUAACAAAGUUCACGUGCCCAGCCCGCAGUUCUUUGUGACUCCGUUGCUCAAGAAACUUGGCAAUCUGCCGACAGAUAUGGAAGUAGAUUAGCUAGUUUUCAGAUUCUGCUUAAAUAAAUUUAAGAACAAUGAUUUUGAAAUGUCGCACCUUUGGGAUCCGAAUAGGAUUUUUGGCUGCAUACUCACAAAGUUUCAUUAUUUUCCUUUCAUUUGGAGGACCAUCCUGCACCCAAAUGUAACCAUGUAUUGAGUCCUGUAGCUGUAGAUAAUACUAAAUUUGAAACAUAGGAAUGUCGAAAAUGUGCAUGCAAGCAGAUAAAGCCAUCACUUACUGCAUAAUGUCAAUUUGGGACAUUCGACUGUCUGAAGCAAUAUUUCAACCGAUAUUUCCAGUGAAUAGGCAAGGUAUUGAAUAAAAUUAGCGAAACGCUCCUCUCUAGUAGCUUAAUCUUUUAGCUAGACACGGCUCUUCUGCGUGGUAUCAAAGUAUGAGGUCCUGAGUUCAAGUCCUUCCACACUUAUUGUUUCGUUUAGUUUCCACGCCCAAUUAUUCAAAGCGCACUUGGUCAGCUAAUCAAAAGUCUCAGCCCAAACGUGCUAAAUAUAAGAUUAUUAAAACGCCAUUGUAUAGUACGCCAUUAGCUUAAGAUUUUACAGAAAAGCAGUUGUUUCAUUCAAGGAUUUACAAAAAAUCAAGUCUACUUGUUAAUUAAUUACCACAACAAGCAAAACUAGCUAUAAUUUAAAAGUCCAUUUCCUUCUCUCUGAGAAUGGUAUUUCCAUCUCUCAUCAACAUGUUAAGCUCGGGAAAAAAAACAUAAAACCCAAACUAUAUCAACAAGUAUACUACAACUACUCAAAAAAUAAAAUAAACAUAACAAGGACAAUGCCACUCAUCUCUACAAGAAAACAAGCCAAAAAAGCCACUAAAUAAGCUUCACAUUAACGAAACGAGCACAAAGGAGCGAUUUUUACGAGCGUUUUGGGGAAGAUCUCGGCGAGGAGCUUCUUGUAGCGCUUCACGGGGCGGCGCGAGCUCGGCCGCAGCGCGGGGCAACACACGCACAUGCUCCCGCACGAGGGGAAGAGCUUCCGCGAGACGAACCCCAUCGGAUCGGAUCGGGAGAAAAAUUGUAGGAAAAAAAAUCCCACACAACAAAAAAACGCCAAAUCAAAGAAGAUCCAUCACGAAUCGACCUCUUAGAGCGGCACCACGACGCCGGAUUCAGCUGAAACCCUAGAAAUCGAAGAAGCCACAGACGAGGAAGACGCUGGAACCUCCGAGAGAUCGGGAGAAGGGCGUAGAAUGCGAUGAGAGGGAGAUCGAUUUGGGGGAUUUGGUCUCUUCCACCUCCAAAGGCGAGUGUGAGAGGGAUUUGUGAUUAAAAUUUCCACCCAAAAACAGAAAAAAAAAAAAAAAAUUCGAGAGGGAGAGGCCGGGAAAGGAGGGACGGAGCACGCCACGUGAAGCGACGCAUCAGGCUCGGGUUUCUUCGUAGGUGUAAGCUUUUUGUCAGUGCAACUGUACACACUCCCCCAUCACACAAAUCGUUCGCUGAACCCGGCGUAUCCGUACUUGUCAUGCACCGCAUUCCAAAUCAGUGUCUUAAAAGUUAAAAUCAUGGCUGAAUAAAUUAUAUUUUUUUGGUUCGUGCGCAGUAAAGCGGAUGGCAUUUUGGUUCUCAAUUUUAAAAUUAUUAUAAUUUUUUAUUUUGAAUUGUCUAUACUAUUGCAAGUUUAAUUUAGUUAAUUAAAUAAUAUUAUGUCGCUGAUAUAAUAAAAAUGUGACAUCUUAAUUAUCGAUAUGUUAUCUAACACAUUACUAUCAAAUCACUAAUACUAUUGAAAGCUUUGAGAUUUAAUUCUAAUAAUAAUUUGAAAUUUUCUAUUCAAACAAAUGUACUUUGGCUUAAAAAUAGUAAUUUGUAUCGUACAUUUAAAAUAGUUAAAUAACUUAUAUAUACGAUGAACUAUAGAUUAAAUUGUCCAAAAAAAUAAUGACACCGAAAGAUAUAUCGUUUGAUUCACAAAAAAAUAUUAUUGCCCAAAAUGUACAUUUUUUUUAUAUAUAUAAGUUGUUUAAAUAUGAGGUAACAAAUUUAAUUCAUUAGGUUCUACUUUUGAGAUCUAUUCAUCAAAUUAUAGUUGUGGUUUUGGAGAAGUAGUCGUACACCAGGUUUAGGCAACAAUUUUUUUGUCUCUCUGUCUCACUUGUUGGCUAGUACUACUGUACAUAUGCUGAGUUGGCACUCCUAGUGUUGUCUCAAACUUUCCAAAGUUUGACCUUUUGGGGAUUUGAUUUUAGAAAAUCUCUUUUAAAUAAAAUCAAAGAAAAUGUAUGAAGGCCCCUUCAACUAUAACUUGGUCUGAAAGAGGCUCUAGUUUUUUAAUUAAUAUUUUUAACUUUUUAUUUAUUAUAAAUUUAUAUUAUUUUAAAAACAAAGUAAAUAUUUUGUCAAAUUUAACAUUUUUAGUAAUCAUCAAUUAUAAAGUAAUCAAGUUUAGGGAGCCUAUUUCAAAUUUACAUAUAGUUUUUGGGGAUUUGUAUGGUUUAACUUUGCAUUUUAAGUUACAUCCUCUCAAAUAUUGACUAUUUGGACAUAGGUUCUUAAACUUCUAUUUCUUAUUAAACUCGGAAAAUUUAAACAAUCGACGGUUUUUUUUAAAGAAAACGUAGUAGAAAAAAAUAAAUAUAGUCUCAAGUGUAAAAAAAUUAAGUUGAGCCAAAAAUAUAUAGAGAGAAUUUAUCAGCAUUAUGAAGAAUUUUAAUUGAGCUGUCUAUUUUUUAUUUAUUUAUUUUGAUUUGAGUCUAUAAAUGAUGUUUGACUUCAAAAUUUAUAUACGUCGUUUAUUUUUAUAUAUUUAAUUAAUAUAUUUUAUGUAAUUAUUACAACUAUUAAUUUAUUAAAGUAAUAAAUCUAAAUCUUAAAGUUAGAAUAUUAUAGCGGACUAAAAUUAAAAAAAUUAGACUGUAUAAUUUAAAAAAUUUUAAAAAAGCUAGUCAGUUUAAAAUAGCCUAUAAUUUUUUUUAAAAAAAAAAUGAAAGGUUCUUGAAUGAAUCUACACUUUUUGGGGGCGUAAUUAUAUGUAGCCUUUUAAAAACAUAUUGAAUAAUAAAUAUAUUUUUAUAAAAUUUAGCUUUUCAUUUUUAUUCAUGCAAAAGGUUAGUGAUAUUCAUAUUUGUCUAUUUGAUUUGUUACCGUUAAAGUACUAUUUAUUUUUUAACAGCAGAUGAGUAAAAUGAUAUUUUUGCCUUUGCAAAUAUAUUCUUAAAGAGAUUUCAACUGUUAGAAUUAUGCAUAAAUAUCCUCCUAAAAAAUAAUUUACCUAAUAAUAUAAGAGGGGUAAAAUGAUCAAUUUAACUCAUUUACCAAGUAGGAUUAAGUAUUUUAUGGCAUUUUUCUAAGGGAUCCGAAUAAUAAGGGUAUAUUUGAAAAUAAUGAGACUUUAUAAAAAUUGAAUUUUGUAAGAAUAUAUAUAUAGAGUUAGGCUGGUAUACUAUCGGUAGCACGCCAAGUUGUUUUCAAUGAUGCAGCUUCCAAAUUGACGAUCGGCUCCGUUAGACUUGAUCUACAUUAUUAAAAGUAUUUGAAAAUUAAAUUUCAUAAUUUUUCAACAUCAUUUGGCUAGUGAUUAAAAGGUCUCAAAAUUGACAAUUUUAAUAGUAAACGUGAUGUGUUCGUGAAUUUAACGAUGUAAAACACUUUAAAUCUGAUAAAAUGUUUAUAGAAAAUUAUUUUCACUAUUUAGAGUAAGAUCAGUACUUCUGAUCUUAAAUUCAAGUCUUUUAUCAUCAUAUUUUAUCAGAUUUUUAUUUUUAGCCAACAAUUUUUAGACUACUCGUUUGAUAGGUAAAUAAUGCCGAAAAAUUAUGAAAUUUAAUUUUCAAAUACUUCCAAUAGUGUAGAUCAAGUCUAACGGAGCCGAUCGUCAAUUUGAAAGCGACAUCAUUGAAAACAACUUGGUAGCACGGAGGCCUCCGUACUACCGAUAGUAUACCAGCCUAGCUCUACAUAUAUAUGUGUUUCGAUAUGUUUUCAUGAAGCUGUAUGUAUUUUUUUUUUUUCUUAAAAAGUGAGACCUACACCUACCUAGGACCUAGCUCAAAUGGUUAACUACAUUUCUUUAAGGCUUCGUUUGAUUCGGGUAUAAGCAAGAACUAGUUACAUCGGGGAUAGGUACAAGUAUGGAUUUUCGUAGGAACAAGAGUAUUUUUUUAUUUGGAUGAAAAUGUGGGUAUAAGCUGGAACUAGAAAAAUUGUGUUUGGAUGAAAAUGUAAGUAUAAGGUGGAAUAGCUGGUAGUUAUAGAUAGAAAAUAAUGAUUUUAUCCCUAAUAAUUUAAAAUUUUUAACUUGUAAUUUUAAAUUAAAAAUUUUAAAAUUUAAAAUUAAAAUUAAAAUUUUUAAUUUUUAAUUUUUAAAUUUAAGAUCAAAUUUAAAAUUGAAAGAUAUAAAAUAUCAAGUUUUAAAUUUAAAAUCUAAAAAAAUUAAAUUAAAAAAACAAAAAUUAAAAAUAUUAAAUUUAUAAUUUAAACAUUAAAAUUUAUAAUUUAAAAUUAUAAAUUUAAAUUUUAAAAAACUAAAUUAUAAAUUUUAGAAAUUUAAAUUUAAAUUAAAAAUCACACACACUCUCUCUCUCUCUCUCUCUCUACCCGGGAGGGGUGGAAAUUUUCGUUUGGAUACAAGAGGGGGGAUAACCUCCUUAUCCCCUCUUGUACCCAAUCCAAACGGUACCUAAUAUUAGCAAAAUAUAUUUAAAAAUAAUAAAAUUUCUAACAAAUAAAAAUAAAAAGAAAAAAUUAAAUUCUAUAAAAAUAUAUCUUUUAUUUAAUAUAUCUAGAAAGCUGUACGUAAGUCUAACUUUUUUCUUUAUUUUUCCCCUUAAAAAGUGAGACCUAUGCCUCCCCAGGACGUAUCUCCGAUGGUUAAGUUGAAAAAGGAUUAAGAUAGAAUGCUCGACAGUCAACAACACGCAUCAUUAGCCGGGCUAACUUUUUCAGCUGGCGUGGACGUCCCAAACUAACUUCCCGCCCGCAGCGACCAAUCCAUUACUUGAAUUCAAAAAUAUCUGCUUCAAAAUCUCUAUCUAUUUAUCAAUUUUGAUAAAUAAUUAGGAUAAAAAAUAUAUAUAUAAAAAUAUUUAAUAGAAAAAAAAAUUUAGAUUUCUAAAUUUUUCUCUAAUUAUCAAUUAAAAUUGAUGAAUAAUUAAAAACUUAAAAGUAUAAGGACAACGGUACUCCUAAUACCACAUCAAAAAUAUAUAAUAUAUAAUAAUAUUUAUUAUAUUUAUUUUACAAAAAUUAUAAAGUAAAUAAUAUUAAAUGUUUGAAAUAGGAGUUAAAAGAUUUUUACAGAAAAAAAAAAUCAUCCUCAAAUUUUAUAAUAUUUUAAUUUUUACUACUAUCAUGAAUAAAAAUUUUUAUAUAAUUUUAAAAAAAAUCAAGGAUUCACAUUACUAACGUAAUGUCAUAUCUAAAUAUAUUCGUGCAAUUUACUCAUCCCAUAGUAACCUUAUUCUGGAAAAAAAUUAUUAUAUUUUUAUCCAAAAAGAAGAUAUGAUUUGUUGAUUAUCAAUGAUGCAGUAUAAUUGUUACAUAAUAGACUUUGGCAAGGCCAUGACCACUCUGGCCCUCUCAAUAGCUAAAAUUUUAGUUAAAAAAAUAUAUGUUUUCAUACUCCACCACAAAUUAGUAAUACAUGGUUAGAAUUUAGGAAAUUAACUUUGGAGAAGGAAUAAUUAGCAAUACCUGGUUACAGCAAUGUCAGAUCAAUCGAAAACAUAGUAAGGAGUUUUUCCAAGUACUCGGACCAAACAUACCAACAAUAAAAUUAACAAGGCUAAGAGAGCGUCAUCAUGACUAAUAUUUAGCAAAUAAGAAUAUAUAUUACAUGUACAUUCAAAAGUUAUGUGUGGACUUUACAUCUUAUGUACAUCCAAAAAUUCAAACAAUUCUAUUAAACAUUUUAAUAUUUAAACAUAAUUGUGAUAUAACUAGUGUAAUAAGCUACUCCUGUAUGAAUGAAAUAUAAAACUCAAGGUUUUAAGUGUCCGUCGGCACGGACCGUAUCCACCGUGCCGUACCGUGCCAAUAAAAUACCGGCACGAUACAGACUCCGUGUCGAUGGCACAGCUCAAAACCCUCUAUUAUUUAAAUUAGUAAGUAAUUUCCUCAAUAAAGUUCAAAAGAUGUGAUAAAAAGACAUAAUAAAUAGUUAUGAUAUUUUGUUGCUAAAGAAAGUAAAUUUUUCAUGCUAUUAUGUGUCGGCACAUAAGAAUUUUUUUGACCGGCACGCAUCGGCACGGCUCGGCACGCACCGUGCCGUACCGUGCCGGUAAGUUUCCAGCACGACCUCGUGCCACGGCACUUAAAUCCUUGAUAAAACUUAUGUUGAUCUUUAAGUAUACAAAUAGUAUUGCUCUUCCGUAUUUUGAUGCGAUUUGUGUCUUAUUUGAUCUAAUUUAACAUUGUUCAAUUCUAUAGAUACAUGAAUAAAAUAAUCCAUACUGGAGUUCAUCAGUAGAUUCGCAUGAAAAGUACAAAUUUUUUAAACUUUUUUUAAAUAAACCCUAGCAUUAAUUCAACUUUGGGAGCAUCCUAUGCUGAACACUGUUUGAACAUCCAUUUCAUUGCCACAUCAGAGUAGGCUACCAAAAAUCUGGGACUAGGGAAAUGCCUCUGAUACAAAAGAGUCGCACAUUAGAGGCAUUUGAUAGAAAAAUCCAAUUGUAGAGAACUAAUCCGAAAAUCAAAUCCAACCAAAUAAACUAUUUAUUUUGAUUUAUAUAAUUUUUGAUUCAAUUUGAUUUUGAAAUUUACCAAAAUUUGAUUUUCUGUUUCGGCCCGAUUUGAAUAGUAAUACUUUUUACGCUUUUUAUCUAAACUAUUUAUUUAAAUUCUAUAUUCAUGAUCGAAUCUUGUUCAUAUAUCAAAAUAUUUUUCAAAAUUCUAUCUUGGUAAUUAAUUUUUUUUGUGUGUGAUUUCAUAAUGAUUCACUUUUGAAUCUUUAAAUUAUAAAUUAACUCAUAAGAAAAAUAAAAAAAAUCUAAAUAUUAAUUUCAAAACAGAACAAAACCGAAUUACAGUAUAAAUCCGUUCGGUUCAGUUGUAAACUUUUUCAAACCGAAAAAUUUUAAUUCAAUUUGAUAUUUGCCUAAAAACCAAAUCAAACCUUGAGCAAGAAAACUGUAUUGGGUGUAAACCUUGAGCAAGGUAUUCAUGCGCAAGGUCAUCUUCGUUUGAGUCGGAAUGAGCAGCGGGAUGAUACCGUAUGCAAAACUUUUUGUUUGCACACAUAAAACUAUAGAGAAACACGAGUUGGUUGAGUUGAGUUUGAACCCAGCCCAUGCGAAACCAAAACCAACCCAACCCAACCCAACCAAACCCAAUUUGGAACACAGAUGUAGCGUGUCAAAUGCCAAACUAAUGAGCUCAAUGCAGCCCAUAAUUCACGCCCGUAAAGUAGGUUGGGUUGGGCCAGUUGGGUUUGAACCCAGACCAAAUUGCACACCGUAAAUUAAAGUCGGCGGAGUUCGGAUUAUAGGCAAUUCAUUUAUUUUAAACCGUCGCCGACUUUGAAGACGUUGCCGACUUCGGAAGUUGGGCCGGGUCCGGAGGCCUUUAUCCGUCAAUGGGCGGCGCCUCUCUCUCUCUCUCUCUCUCUCUCUCUCUAAACUCGGGUUGCUUCGUUUUCGUGCGACGGCCCCUUCUCCUCCCAAACCCUAAUUAGGGUUUCCUUCCUCUCCGUCGACGCCCGCGAGCUCUGAUCACCAUCGACCAUGUCGAAGAGGAAGUUCGGAUUCGAGGGCUUCAGCAUCAAUCGCCCCGCCACCUACAGCUUCGAGCGCUCGCAGGCCCCGCAGCGCCUCUACGUGCCCCCGUCCUCGCGCGGGGGCAGCAACCACGACAACUACGAGGACAACGACCUCGACAACAUCGACUACGAGCAAGCCGACGACGCCGCGGCCGCCGAUGGCCGCAGCGGCGGCGACGCCGACGAGAUCGACCCCCUCGACGCGUUCAUGGAGGGCAUCAACGAGGAGAUCCGCGCCCCGCCACCGCCGCCGCCGCCGCACGGGGCGGCGAAGGAGAAGGUGGAUAGGUACGUGGACGAGGACGACGACGACCCCAUGGAGAGCUUCUUGAGGGCGAAGAAGGACGUGGGCCUCGCCCUUGCUGCGGACGCGUUGCACGCGGGGUACAAUUCGGACGAGGAGGUGUACGCGGCCGCGAAGGCCGUCGACGCGGGGAUGAUCGAGUACGAUUCCGACGAUAACCCGAUUGUGUUGGAUAAGAGGAAGAUCGAGCCGAUUCCGGCUCUGGAUCAUAGCGCAAUUGAGUAUGAUCAGUUUAACAAGGACUUCUAUGAAGAGAAGCCCUCUAUAUCAGGUAAAAAAGAAAAGGUUUAAUCACUUCAUUUAGAUUGCUCUCCGCGUCGUAUAACUGUGUGCUCUAUUGAAUGCAUGUUGGUGGUGGAAAGCUUGAAUAUGUCAUCUAAUAAUUCUGUUCUUUAUGGUGGUACUGCCUCAGGUUAUAGCUGAUAUAUUGAUUUUGCUCCCCUUUUUUUAGUAAGAUAGUAGUAUGUCACAAGUAUCUUAUGCCUAUUACAUUUUUAAGAAUCUGCAGUUUCCAAUAUGUUGGUGAUUCUUCCCCACUAUUAUAAUUAUAUAUUAUCAAGUGAUUCCAUACAAAUCUUUUUCUGGAAAUAUUUUUUUUACCUUGUAAAAGGUUGAAGUGUUUAACAUUAACAGGUCGUGGAAAGUAUGGAAUUUGUAUGUAACUCACACAAACUGUUUAAUUACUUACUAGCAAGUAGUAACAUUACUUGGAACUACUUCCACGUGGCAUUUUGUUGUGCACACGAUGUUACAUGUUAAUGUAAGUCUUAGAUGUGUAAUACGUUCGACGUUCAACACUUUUAAUGUUAUAAUUUCUUAGGUAAAAUGUAGUCCUCAUUUUCAGUGUGGAAGUCGAAAUGGAUCGCGGAUGUAUUUUAAAUGUGGUUCUUUGUUGACUUUAGGAAUGAGCGAACAGGAUGUGGCAGAUUACAGGAAAAGCUUAGCAAUUCGUGUUUCUGGUUUUGAUGUAUCAAAGCCAAUCAAACUCUUUGAAGAUUGCGGGUUCUCUACUGCUUUGAUGAAUGCUAUUUCCAAGCAGGGCUAUGAAAAGCCAACACCAAUACAGUGCCAAGCUUUACCUAUAGUACUGUCUGGUAGAGAUAUUAUUGGCAUUGCAAAAACAGGUUCUGGUAAAACUGCUGCAUUUGUACUCCCUAUGAUUGUUCACAUUAUGGACCAGCCCGAAAUUGAAAAAGAAGAAGGUCCAAUUGGGGUGAUAUGUGCUCCCACCAGGGAAUUGGCGCAUCAAAUAUAUCUAGAAGCGAAAAAGUUUGCGAAGCCUUACAAUCUACGAGUUGCCGCUGUCUAUGGUGGUGUUUCAAAGCAUGACCAAUUUAAAGAGCUUAAAGCAGGUUGCGAAAUAGUUGUUGCUACUCCAGGGAGAUUAAUAGACUUGCUGAAGAUGAAAGCCUUAAAGAUGUUUAGGGCAACCUACCUGGUGCUCGAUGAAGCUGACCGGAUGUUUGACCUUGGGUUCGAGCCGCAAAUACGAUCUAUCGUUGGCCAAAUCAGACCAGACCGACAGACUCUUCUUUUCUCUGCGACCAUGCCGUACAAAGUCGAGCGCUUAGCUAGAGAAAUUCUUACAGAUCCUAUUAGGGUUACCGUCGGUGAGGUUGGACGGGCCAACGAAGACAUCACCCAACUUGUUCACGUAAUUCCUUCUGAUGCUGAGAAGAUGCCUUGGCUGCUUGAGAAGUUGCCGUCAUUGAUUGAUGAUGGGGAUGUUCUUGUCUUUGCGUCGAAAAAGGCAACAGUAGAUGAAAUUGAAAGCCAGCUGGUUCAGAAAGGGUUCAAGGUCGCGGCACUGCAUGGGGACAAAGACCAGGCCUCUCGAAUGGACACCUUGCAGAAGUUCAAAUCGGGGAUUUACCAUGUUCUAGUUGCAACUGAUGUUGCCGCUCGUGGGCUAGACAUAAAGUCGAUAAAGUCGGUUGUUAACUAUGAUAUUGCAAAAGACAUGGACAUGCACAUCCAUCGUAUAGGGAGAACUGGCCGUGCUGGUGAUAAAGAUGGGACGGCCUACACUCUUAUUACGCUGAAGGAGGCACGCUUUGCUGGUGAACUGGUCNAUAAAGUCGGUUGUUAACUAUGAUAUUGCAAAAGACAUGGACAUGCACGUCCAUCGUAUAGGGAGAACUGGCCGUGCUGGUGAUAAAGAUGGGACGGCCUACACUCUUAUUACGCUGAAGGAGGCACGCUUUGCUGGUGAACUGGUCAACAGUUUGAUUGCUGCUGGUCAAGAUGUUUCUGUCGAAUUGAUGGAUCUGGCUAUGAAGGUGAGGUCUAUUGAGUCCUGUCUUUUUAUGUUCUUUCCUGCAUUUUGUUCUCCUUGGGAUGAGAAGCCUGCACUACAUUUUCUUUUGUAUUAUUUGUUGGAGCAACUUUAUACUUGAUUUUCCACACAGUAUAUGCAUUGAAAGCUUGCGUAACUAAUUCUCCUUUUUGCUGUUUCCUCUGUCCUUUCUUCCUUCUGUGGUUUGGUCAUAAAACCCUUUCUUGUUCUCUUGUAUAUUGGAAUGCUUUGUAGCGUCUCUGUGAUUCUUUCCAGAUCAUUGUACUGUCACCUUUAGACUUAAUGUUAUUGGAAUGAGUAGCAUGAACUCUAAUAUUUUCCAUCAGCACAUACUUAAAUAAAGGUUUUAUGAGCUAUUUUUGCGAAAUGGUGGCUUCUAAGUUGGAUUUUUCAAUCGUAGGAUGCAAGGUUCAGGUCCAAACGUGAUCAAAGAAAAGGUUCAGGUAUGUGUAUGCUGUUGAAGCGUAUUAUAGUUUAAUAAGAUAACAAAAUAUUUUUCUUACAUUUUGCCUCAGCUAUGCAGCUAUAUAACUCAUUUUCUGGUAUAUAGAGUCAACUCAGCUUUCCGAUAUUUGUUCUUAACCAUGGAAAAUAUUUUCUUAGGUGGGAAAAAAGGUGGAGGAAGAGGAAAAGGAGGCGGUGGCGGUGGCGGUGGCAGUGGGCGAGGUGUUCGUGGUGUUGAUUUCGGCCUUGGCAUCGGUUAUAAACCCGAGGAGUCAAAUGCAACAUCUCAGCCAGCUCCAGGUAGAUCUGCUGCUGUUAAUUCGCUAAGGACUGGGAUGAUGCAACAGUUCAAAAGCAACUUUGUUGCUGCCGCUUCGAGUUCUCAGAACGAUAAUAUAACCCCAAGCGGUAGUGCUCCCAGCGCAAGACCUGUUCUACGAGGUUUUGUUUCUGGUGGUAUGAUUGGUGGAGAGGCGGCAUAUAAAACACAACCGGUCGCUCCUUUUAACCCUCCGUCCAAGCCUGAAGGAAGCACAAACGAAAAUGGGAAUAAGAAGAACCCCGACAGGUUAGUCCUUUUCAGUUAAUCUACAUAAAUGUAGCUCAGUAGUUGCGACUUUGAAUAAAUGUUGUUACAGCAGUGGUUGUUGUCUCCUACACCUACUGGGAGAUACUAUCUCUACUAAAUUUUUCUUUCUAUUCCCUAUAUCAUUUGUUUUUGUUUGAAUUGCAGUUCACGGGAUAGGCCAAGGGAGAGAAAGCGGCCUUCUGGAUGGGAUCGUUGAGCUUUGUUGCAAUGUGUAAAAUACCUUUCUAUUUUGCUUGAUAAGUUAAUUCUGUAGAGGAGAUAUAAAGAAUAUGAGCAACCGGUAUGUUUGGCAAUCUCUUCAUCUUUACUUUUAGCUAGAUUUGCGCACUUUAUUCUGUCCGUCUAUUUUCAUCUACAGUUGGAGAUGUUACAAUGCUUCUUGUUGUAGUCAAAAUUCUUUUCUUUUUCUUUUUUUUUCCCCUCCCCCAUAUAUCCAGCUAUGUUCUAAUUUAUCUGAAUACAAAAAGACAAAAAGGGCAACUUGACUUUUAACCUUACAAGUUUUGUAGACAACUUUGAUGAUUAUCGAUAGUUUUUUGUUGCAAUUGAUCAACCAAAUGUAGUGUAAGUAAUUACAACCCUUUGGUUUCUUGUGUUGCUUACAAAUUCAUCUACUUGCAUCGUAUUGUUAUUGAUGCUUGUGAAUUCAUUUGUUAUGGCAUUCACAGGUGCUUUCUCUAACAAUAUAUGCUCCCUAGGCUGUUUUGUGAAUCAUAUAUACUGGGAAAACUAUUACCCUGUCGACGGAUUAUAUCUAAUACAGGCCACCUUGUCGUUAUUUUAACUUAAGCUUAUACUUUUUGAUGAAUACAAUUUAAGGCCUUCGUUCUUGCUAUUUAGAAUCGCACUUAUGCUUGCAUAAUUUCUAAUCCUAGAUAGUUUGCUUCAUCCUUUUCAAUUCAAAUGGCCACUUGUAGUACUGCUGGUGUAGAAGUGUUUCAACUGGAAUUUGCUGCAUGCAUGUACUGACAUUUUUCAAAAAUGCUAGUCUUUCAACCUGGACUUGUUACAUGUAAACAGUAGUAGUAGCAGCCUGUUUCUUACAACACGUAAAACAACCUGAUAUGCCAUAAGAGGUUAUUUCGCCUUUGGCAUGAUAGUUAUUUAUUUUCGAGGAAACCUUACAACCGUAGAUUAGUAAUGAAUGCUUUUGCCGAUGAGACGAUAUAACAUUUUCACGCCUGCGGGCACUUGGUGACGUCUGCAUCCCUGCGAUUGAGCUCUUUACGUCGUGUAGCAUUGGGGCACAUUUCCAAGCAUGGCUCUGCAAGGGCUUUAUCGUCGUCUGGUUCGGGUGGUAGCACUCCAAAAUUAAACUAGGGAGAAAGGAGUUUUAAGUUAAUCGAAUGAAGUUCAUGGAUGACUAAUGAUGUUCGAUGAGCAUAAGUUUAAUUAUGCACAGCGAUGAUAAUUACCAAAAAGAAUGAAAAUCUGAAAGAACGAAGGAAAUGAAGUAUUAGUGGCGGGUAGGGGAAUGAAAAUGGUAAAAAGUGGGCACUAAUUUUUCAAAAUUUUGCUAGUGAUGGGUAAAUUAACAUAGAAAACCAAAUUACCUGGCAACUGAAGUCGCUGAAAUUUGGCUCCAUGUAUAACGGCACUCCCAUGUAUUCCCUGAAGAAAGUCUGUAAGAAGAAAACGGCAAGCCGAAGUUGAAGGUACAUUACAGUCGAAAACACGACAUAAAUAUAUUUGUUUGUAAUCUCGUUCUACAGUAAUGAGAUAUAAUGGGGCGGAGUUUCCGUUGUCAAGGGGCAUUUUGGCUAAUGCAGUGGUGAAACAACUUAAAUGGAACAAAUGAUAGUAAUGAAAUUUCCAAGAAAUAAAUAAGGAAAGCCACUUAGCAUGGUUGUUCGAAUGACAACUUAUCUCGCUUCAGCGCAAUAAUUUUCUUAACUAUCCAUGACUAAUUUGCAUACCUCAAUAAAACCUGAAUUUUUAUAUAUACCUCACCAAGUAUGGGAUGAAAUCCUGAUCUUAUGUUUACUGGAGUCAUCGGGCCUAUGGCCAGUAUCAAGAAAGAAAAAAAAAAGAAUGAAAAGAAAAGAGAAAUUGGAAGUCAUCCAGUUCAUGAAGAAUUAUACUGGACACCAUUUUUUGAAGAGGGGAUUUUUAAGUACAAGGGUUUUUGAAGGACAUAGAUGAAAAUUCAGAUUUUGUAGUCUUACUAGAUAUUCUGGAUUUUCUGCCUCUAAAUGGAUCUUGCAGUGUAUGCACAUUUAAUAGUGCAUCUGAAGGCUCCUCGCCAACAUUAGAACAACAUCAUAUCCUAGUAAACAAGCAUUACUUCCAAGUAUAUUUGCUUCAAUUCUAUGCCAAGAAGAGAGCUUAAAUAACUAAAUAGUCGUUGUUGAAAUAUACAAAUUGACACACCUGCGUUGGCCGCUUGCACGUGUUUAUACAGAGUCCCACGCAUUUACUUUCCUCUAGAUACUUGCACUUCUCAAUAAACACCUAAAAGCAUAUAGCACCAGCAAUUGAAGCAAAAAAAAAAACUUACAAUAGAAAAACUUACUAUCGCACGAUAGGAAAUUAUAAUUAGUUAACAGGACAGUUGAACAUGAUUCUUGAGAUCAGUAGAAUACCCCACUUGAGCAAGUGGACCCAUCAGGAAGUUCGAUUGCUUUGACCGAGCAGGGGCCCAUCAGCCAUUGACAAGAAAGUACAGUUGCUCUUGCUACAAGAGUGAGAUUAACUAGUCAGCUCUUAGGAUCUCAAAAAUAAUAUGCUGCUGACUGUAAAUCGGUAUUAUCUGAAAGUCACCAACAAAUGAACUCACCAGACAUCAUGGAGGCUAUUCUGCCCCUGAAUAAAGGUGCUAUAAGCCUCUUAAAAAAGACAAGUAAGAAUGGUGGAAACAGCGACCUUAUAACUCGAACCUAAUCAAGUCAUAGAAUAGAAAGAUCUUGUCCAGUUAUUUAGAUCGCCAAACAAAAGAUCAACAGGAAAAAUAAAGCAAAUACUUAGGAGGGGAAACAGUCAAUGCAAUUAUCAUUAACAACAGUUAAGCAAGUACUGUACUUCCCCUGUUCAUUGAGUGUAUGAAGGACCAAAAAGCAAUAAUGAUAAAUAAAUAUGUGCACGACAAUAUAAUACUGACGCAAUCAGUAGGCAUACAAAACACAGAGGUGCAAAUAAGCACAAAAACCCAAAAUCAAAGGCUACGCAUUUGCACACAGAUAUACACAUCAAUACAGAGAGAGAGAGAGGCGUACAGCUGAUUCCUCGGUCUCUCUAUAGCUUCUUCCCUUCAUCAUGCGAUUUACAACUUCAAUUAGCCCAUCAUACCGGGGGUUUUCAGAAUCCCAUCCAACCUCCUACAGCUUUUAUAAAUGAACACAUUGUAAGAGCAAGCUCUUGCUUCUAUAUAUUAAAACACGUCAGCUCAAUAUCCUCAAUGCACAGACAAAUACAGCAACAGUAUAACAAGCAAAACACGAAGAAUGCCAAUUUCUUCAUACAAUCAUACAUUAUUUAAAUUUCAGUCUUCUGUUUCAACUUUCAACAGCUACUAUCUGUGCAUAAAAUAGAUAUGGUUUUUAGUGAGUGAUAUAGAUUGUAUAGAAGAAAUCACGUCAACAUUUCGGUGAGUUAUCUUUUGGCAUGAGAUGCUUAUGGCCUAAAAGACAUGGACAUGGAGACCUAUCAGGAUAAACUGCUAAAUAUACCUAAUUAAAUACUAACCUAAUUUUUUCUUCAUGAGAACUAAUUCCUUGGUCCUAAUCCUAGCUCACCAUUAUUUAACCACCUCAUUCAUCAAAUUCUUAUAUCUGUAAAAACUACUUUGAGCCACAAUCUAAUUGCAGGUGAUAACUCAGUUGGGCUCAAAUCACAUGCCCAAAAUGUUUAAACUCAGUUAUUAAUAUUAGACUCUUCGGGUCUUACUGUGAACUACCUUAUGAAUCUAUGAUCUACCUCCAUCAUAUCUUUAAACCGUAUUUCAUUAUUUAUACAUCGAAAUCAUAAUCUACAAGUUUGUUAAGUAAUUUAGUCGGAGAAGAAGGACAUGUAAUCAUCCAUGAACAAAUACGUACAGGAACGCGAAAUUCCAAAGAGAACUUAGUAGGAUUUUAGCUCAGCUCCACCAUUUUCUUCCUAAAAAACCUGUAAAUCACCUCAUCGACGAAUCCGAAUUCGUACUCUUUUCCCGUCGCAUCACUUUGCACCUGAAAAGAGUGUCGAAAAACACAAGAAACUUCGCAUCAAAACAUUCAUCUAGAAGGCGAUUUUGAAUCAAAUCGUCGCGAGAAAAGGAGAUUAAAUCGACGAACCGCUUCGGAUCGAGUCGGAGAGCAAGCAACGCGAGAUCUAGGGUUUCGGCCGAGGCGAUCGCGGCGUUGAAGAGGAUGGUGAGGUGGGGAGGAGAGGGGGAGAGGAGCGGGUCGGAGGAGAAGGAGAGCUCCCAUGGCGACUGAACUGUUUACGGAUAAAACGAAAAAUAAAGAGAGGAGAAAGGUUUUAUAAAUCGGGUUGUUUCGAUUGUGUUGCCAAAAAUAAAAAGGAUGCAAUAAUUACCCAAAUACGACCAGAAAUUGCGUGGACUCUGCAUAUUCGCACACGUGUACACCGCACUUAUAUAAACACUUGGCCCGUUUAAAAAAUUGGGCUAAUUGUAAUUCUAUUUUUCUCAAAACACAUAAAUAAUAAGAAAAUCAACUACAAGUAUAAAAAAUAUAAAAAAAAUAAUAAUAUUUAAUUAUUAUAUUUGAAAUUUAGUUGCUUUAUAUUUUUCAGCUAAAUUUAUUUUUUUAAAAAUAAACGAAACGACUAACAUGCUUAUUUUUUUUUCUGAAAAAUAUUUAAUUACUGUAAUUUUUUAUUUUAUUUUAUAUGCUAUUAUGAAAGUUUUUAAUAAAAUAAAAAAUAUAGAAUAAUUAUAUUAACUUUCUAUCAGCGGUGAAAAAUGAGUUUCCUCUGAAUUUUAGUUUGUUCGAAAAUUAUUAUUAUUAUUAUUAUUACUAAGAAUUAUUUUCAAGUAAAAUGUCACUUACGGACACAAACGGGUUCUUAAUCUCUCCAGCAUCCGCAGCCCAAAACCCGUCUCCCCAGCAUCCGCACCUCUCUCUCUCUCUGGAGAAUGGCGAGGAACUCGCUCCGCGCGGCGGCGGCUGCGGCGCGUGGGUGGCUGCACCCUACCUCAUGAAGCGCGUCAGGGAGCUCCGCAGGUACGGCCGCCACAACCACGCCUUGGAGGUGAGCCUACAGCUUCUUCUUUUUUUUUCUCUAUUUUUUGUUUUUUAUUUUUUUUAUUUUGAAUUUUGUCGAUGUUUAGGUUCAGUUUGAAUGCAUGAAUAAUUUAUUCAGUAUAUAUUUUAAAAUUAUUCAAAAAAUACAUAGCAUUUGGUAGAUUCAUAGAUUAGUCGCGUGAGUCGUACUAAACGAUGUUGUCAAAAUCUUUCAAAAAAAAUUAAUUUUUUUAUUUUUAAUUAUAUAAAAUUUUUUUAUACAUAAUAAUGAGUUAUUAUUGAAUAUCUUAUUCCGAUUCCAAGCAUGGCCUUAAUCUUGUUGGCAUGAUGGUGCUUCAGUUGGGGUCGUCUGAGACAAGAGAUAAGUUUAAUUUACUUUUUAUUUGUAUUUCAAUGUCUUUUCUUACAGUGUCUUUGCUAAUGCUUGUUAAUUUUGUAUUUUGUAAUUGCUAUGACCCUUCACUAUUAAGAUACACAGCUGUUUUAUUGCUCAUCUUACUUAAUUUUUUGUACAAUUGUAGUGAUACGAUUUUUUUUUUUUUCCUCUUCCAUGUUUGUUGACUCUUAACUAGCUUUUCAGUUAACAUUUUAUUCAAUUAACAAUCUCAAUCAACAGAUGCUUCUUGCUAUCUUUUUUCCUUUUCAAUGUUGCAUUUUUCGCCCUGUCUCUCAUUAUUGCAUCAUUCCUCUUCAUCUAGGUGCGAUUAUAGGUGUAUUGUUGCAAUCGUAACUGUAGUUUUACUAUAUUCUCUCAUAGCUAAAGCUUCUCCUGUCGAAAACACGGCAAUGAAACACGAAAUAGAAUACAUAUAAGCAAAGAUAAUUGUGUUAUUUCUAUUUCUAUUUUCGGAAGUGCUGUUUUUUUUUCCUUUUUAGUAAGUUAAAUUGCAUAGUUUGAAGGAUCACAAUUAUCGAGCAGCUAUUCUUAUUACUCAACUUCAUCAACUCGACAGAUUAUGGAUUGGAUGGAAAAGCGAGGCAUGGAGAUAACCCACGGCGGCCAUGCGGUGCGCUUGGAUCUUAUAUGGAAAACCAGAGGAAUCGCUCCAGCAGAAGAGUACUUUUCAACUCUACCAAACGUCGCAAAGCAACAGCGAACUUACGGAGCUCUUCUAAACUGUUACUGCUCGGAGCGAAUGACUGAAAAGGCUACUGCCCACUUUGAGGAAAUGAAGGAACUAAGCAUACAUUCUAGUGCUUUUGUCUAUAACAACAUAAUGAGCCUUUAUAUGAAGUCUGGUGAAUUCGAAAAGGUCCCUUUUCUCUUCGACGAGAUGAAGACCAACAAUAUUACUCCAGAUAAUUGCACCAACAGGAUUUUGAUUAAAAGCUACGCCUUGAUGAACGACAUGGUUUCUGUCGACAGAGCUAUACAGGAAAUGGAAGGAAACGGAGGUGCCUUAGACUGGUCGACGUACUGUCUCCUCGGCAGCAUUUACAUUUCAGCUGGGCUUUUGGAAAAAGCCGUGAUUGCGGUGAAGAAAGCCGAGCUAGUUAUGGAUAGAGACGACCUGUCGCCUUUCCGUUUCUUUAUAAGCUUAUAUGCAAAUGCUGGUAAUCUGGCGGAGGUCAAGAGGGUGUGGGAUUUGCUAAAGGCAAGAGUUGGAAGGCCUGCGAAUGUGCAUUACCGAUUGAUGCUUCAGGCCCUCGCUAAGUUGGACGAUGUGAGUUCGCUGAAGAAGUGCUUUGAGGAGUGGGAAUCUGGGGCUGUGAACUAUGAUAUGCGGCUUGUGAACAUCGUAAUCGAUGCCUAUACUAAGAAGGAAAUGGUGGAAGAGGCUAAACUGCUUCGGGAAAAGGCUUCUAAGAUGGUUGAAGUUACAAAUUUAUCGUCUGCUUAAAAGAGCCAUGAAGGUGAUCUUAUCUUUUGAAGGAGAAAUAGUGAAACUGGUUAUUGGUUAUGAUGAAUUGCUUGGAGAAUCUGUACAUAUUAUUUAUGGAAUUAGAGGAAGAGGGUAUCUUUUUAUUAACUAGAAAUAUGUAAAUGGCUGCAGUACAAAAAGCUAUGAAUAUACCAGAGCAAUUCAUCUUAAUGAGAGGAAUGAAUGGCCAUCUUGGUGAAAUCAAAAUAGAUCACAUUGGCGAACUACAUACAGUGAUAUUCAAGGAAUCGCGUGCUGGCGGGGGCCUCAUUGUUGUGAUGUUCCUUAUAGCAGCUAACACACGCCUUCGCCGCUGCGUGACAUGAGGAGUCCCGAUCUCGUUUUCUCAGAAGCUUCAGUUUUGCGACAAAGAUUCUUCGAAUUGAUUGAGAAACUACAUACUGAGCUGCUGCCGCCGCCACUCGUUGUCGUGUUAAGGUAGUCGACUCCGGACUUCAACCUGCCCAGGCAGGGUGUGUUAUUCUGCAAACACAUAUAUAAAAACCAAGUUUAGAGUGAAAGUAUGUGGUAGUCUGCCUGGCUUUUGUAUUUUGCGGGUUUUGUUAGGGCCCUGCCUGUAGCUCGGGUCAGAUCGAAUUGUACAACCACGCCUGGGCAUUUCUUUUCUUUGAUUGACAGUUUGACACAAGGACCGACCGUCCCUAGAGCAAGUGGUAAAGGAUUUGGUGAUUGAUAUCCGAGACCUAAGUUCGAAUUCUAGUUGAUUCAUAUUUCUAGCUAAGUUUAUUUCUGAAUGAAAUAAACGAAGCGGAUAGCGUGCUACCUAUCUCUCAAAAAAAAAAGAAGAAAGAAAAAGACAGUUUGACACAAGGUUUUAUUAGUUGAGUUUGCGCUCGUCACUUCCCACUGUGAUUGGGCUUUGUUCAGAUUUAUCAGUAGCACAAUCAACCUAAAGCUUCGUAUAAACCUGUUAUGUUUAUGCAAAACCGUUAUUUUUUCAACAAACCAUAUUAUCUCACUUACAUUCUGUUUUGGCUUGGAAAGAAAAGGUAAAAAAAUAGAAAAUUUUCUUUCGUUUGGAUCAAAAUAUGGGAAGAGAAAAGAAGAGAAAUAGAGAGAAACGGACCAGAAAAUAUUCUUUUCCUCUUCAGUAAUGGAGAGAAAGGAAGAGAAUAUUCUUUUCUCUUUUUUUCCCCUUCUCUUAAUUCAAAAGGCAGGAAAAAAAUUAUAUAUUUUUCUCUAUCCAAAAAAGCAUAUGGUUUUUUUUUUGAUAAAUACAUAUAAAAUUCAAAUCAAAUAAAUUAAAAAAUUAGAUGAUAAAAUUAAUAUUUUAAAAGUUUAAAUUGUUGAUACAGAAUAAUUCGUAUUUUAGAUCCGUUCGAUACAUUGUUACUGAUAAUUUCACUUAUUUGGUAAUUCCCAUGGGGCCACUUUACCGAACAAAAUUUGACGGAAUUUUUUAGCUACUAAGCCUACAAAAUUUUUAAAAUAUAAAAAUAAAUAUUCAAGAUUUUUAUUUGUAAAAAUAACCUUAUAAAUUCUAAAAACUGUGAAUCAUUCAUUUAUUACUUUUAUCCUAAUUUAUAUAUUUUCUACAUCCAAAGCAAAUUUUAGAAAAUGUACCGUAUUAAACACUAACUUGUGUUUGGUUCGGAGUUAAGGGAUGGGAUAAUCUUUUAACCCCGAUUUUAUUUCCAAAUAUGAUUUUAGAGGAGGUGGGGUUACCUAAUCCCACCCCAAGUGGGCUAACCCAGGAUAGCCGGGAUAGCCCAUUUGGAGUGGGGUUAGCUAACCCCAGCUAACCCCACUCAAUCUCACAACUCCAACUAAACAAAAUACUAUUUUACCUACUAUCCUUCUUAUCCCAUCUAUACCAACUAAGCACUAUUUUCUUUAAUCCUGAACUAACUCCAAUUCUCAACCAAACACAAAAAUACUUUAAUCCUUCCUUAUCAAUUCCUAAAAUAACUAGUUUUUUCUUAACCCCGAGCCAAACGGUAGAUAAAAGUAAUUUUAAUUUUUUCAAAAAAACAGUCAAUAAUUUACCAUAUUUCAAAAGAAAUAAUUCAUUCGGACCCAAUUUUUUUAAAAAAAUAUUUUUAUAAUU
rnacentral:lncRNA from 1 species